rnacentral:rRNA from 1 species
GACGAACGCUGGCGGCGUGCUUAACGCAUGCAAGUCGAACGGAAAGGCCCUGCUUUUGUGGGGUGCUCGGGUGGCGAACGGGUGAGUAACACGUGAGUAACCUGCCCUUGACUUUGGGAUAACUUCAGGAAACUGGGGCUAAUACCGGAUAGGAGCUCCUGCUGCAUGGUGGGGGUUGGAAAGUUUCGGCGGUUGGGGAUGGACUCGCGGCUUAUCAGCUUGUUGGUGGGGUAGUGGCUUACCAAGGCUUUGACGGGUAGCCGGCCUGAGAGGGUGACCGGCCACAUUGGGACUGAGAUACGGCCCAGACUCCUACGGGAGGCAGCAGUGGGGAAUAUUGCACAAUGGGCGGAAGCCUGAUGCAGCAACGCCGCGUGCGGGAUGACGGCCUUCGGGUUGUAAACCGCUUUCGCCUGUGACGAAGCGUGAGUGACGGUAAUGGGUAAAGAAGCACCGGCUAACUACGUG